rnacentral:rRNA from 1 species
UACGGAGGAUGCGAGCGUUAUCCGGAUUUAUUGGGUUUAAAGGGUGCGUAGGCGGAUCGUUAAGUCAGUGGUCAAAUUGAGGGGCUCAACCCCUUCCCGCCAUUGAAACUGGCGAUCUUGAGUGGAAGAGAAGUAUGCGGAAUGCGUGGUGUAGCAGUGAAAUGCAUAGAUAUCACGCAGAACCCCGAUUGCGAAGGCAGCAUGCCGGCUUCCGACUGACGCUGAAGCACGAAAGCGUGGGGAUCGAACAGG